AUGAACGCUAGCUACAGGCUUAACACAUGCAAGUCGAGGGGCAGCAUCAUCAAAGCUUGCUUUGAUGGAUGGCGACCGGCGCACGGGUGAGUAACACGUAUCCAACCUGCCGACAACACUGGGAUAGCCUUUCGAAAGAAAGAUUAAUACCGGAUGGUAUAGUUUUCCCGCAUGGGGUGACUAUUAAAGAAUUUCGGUUGUCGAUGGGGAUGCGUUCCAUUAGGCAGUUGGCGGGGUAACGGCCCACCAAACCAACGAUGGAUAGGGGUUCUGAGAGGAAGGUCCCCCACAUUGGAACUGAGACACGGUCCAAACUCCUACGGGAGGCAGCAGUGAGGAAUAUUGGUCAAUGGACGAGAGUCUGAACCAGCCAAGUAGCGUGAAGGAUGACUGCCCUAUGGGUUGUAAACUUCUUUUAUACGGGAAUAAAGUGAGCCACGUGUGGCUUUUUGUAUGUACCGUAUGAAUAAGGAUCGGCUAACUCCGUGCCAGCAGCCGCGGUAAUACGGAGGAUCCGAGCGUUAUCCGGAUUUAUUGGGUUUAAAGGGAGCGUAGGCGGGUUGUUAAGUCAGUUGUGAAAGUUUGCGGCUCAACCGUAAAAUUGCAGUUGAUACUGGCGACCUUGAGUGCAACAGAGGUAGGCGGAAUUCGUGGUGUAGCGGUGAAAUGCUUAGAUAUCACGAAGAACUCCGAUUGCGAAGGCAGCUUACUGGAUUGUAACUGACGCUGAUGCUCGAAAGUGUGGGUAUCAAACAGGAUUAGAUACCCUGGUAGUCCACACAGUAAACGAUGAAUACUCGCUGUUGGCGAUAUACAGUCAGCGGCCAAGCGAAAGCAUUAAGUAUUCCACCUGGGGAGUACGCCGGCAACGGUGAAACUCAAAGGAAUUGACGGGGGCCCGCACAAGCGGUGGAUUAUGUGGUUUAAUUCGAAGCAACGCGAAGAACCUUACCAGGGUUUGACAUCCUGCUAACGAAGUAGAGAUACAUUAGGUGCCCUUCGGGGAAAGCAGAGACAGGUGGUGCAUGGUUGUCGUCAGCUCGUGUCGUGAGAUGUUGGGUUAAGUCCCGCAACGAGCGCAACCCCUGUUCUUAGUAGCCAGCGGUUCGGCCGGGCACUCUAGGGAGACUGCCAGGGAUAACCUGGAGGAAGGUGGGGAUGACGUCAAAUCAGCACGGCCCUUACGUCCGGGGCUACACACGUGUUACAAUGGGGGGUACAGAAGGCAGCUACACGGCGACGUGGUGCUAAUCCCGAAAGCCUCUCUCAGUUCGGAUUGGAGUCUGCAACCCGACUCCAUGAAGCUGGAUUCGCUAGUAAUCGCGCAUCAGCCACGGCGCGGUGAAUACGUUCCCGGGCCUUGUACACACCGCCCGUCAAGCCAUGAAAGCCGGGGGUACCUGAAGUACGUAACCGCGAGGAGCGUCCUAGGGUAAAACUGGUGAUUGGGGCU
rnacentral:rRNA from 1 species